AUUGAACGCUGGCGGCAUGCCUUACACAUGCAAGUCGAACGGUAACAGGUCUUCGGAUGCUGACGAGUGGCGAACGGGUGAGUAAUACAUCGGAACGUGCCCGAGAGUGGGGGAUAACGAAGCGAAAGCUUUGCUAAUACCGCAUACGAUCUCAGGAUGAAAGCAGGGGACCGCAAGGCCUUGCGCUCACGGAGCGGCCGAUGGCAGAUUAGGUAGUUGGUGGGAUAAAAGCUUACCAAGCCGACGAUCUGUAGCUGGUCUGAGAGGACGACCAGCCACACUGGGACUGAGACACGGUCCAGACUCCUACGGGAGGCAGCAGUGGGGAAUAUUGCACAAUGGGCGCAAGCCUGAUGCAGCCAUGCCGCGUGUAUGAAGAAGGCCUUCGGUUGUAAGUACUUUACUAGCGGGAGGAAGGGAGGUAAAGGUUAAGUAACCUUUAGUCUCAUUGACGUUACCCGUCCACGAAGAAGACGAACCGGCGUAACUACCGUUGGCCACGC
rnacentral:rRNA from 1 species